rnacentral:rRNA from 1 species
CAGCCGUAAACUAUGCGCGUUAGGUGUAUCGGUGACCACGAGUUACCGAGGUGCCGAAGGGAAACCGUGAAACGUGCCGCCUGGGAAGUACGGUCGCAAGGCUGAAACUUAAAGGAAUUGGCGGGGGAGCACCACAACAGGUGGAGCCUGCGGUUUAAUUGGACUCAACGCCGGGAAGCUCACCGGAUAGGACAGCAGAAUGAUUGCCGGGCUGAAGACCCUGCAUGACUAGCUGAGAGGAGGUGCAUGGCGUAGACGUCCU